rnacentral:misc_RNA from 1 species
GUGGAAGUGGGGGAAGUGGCUUCUCAUAAAUUGGAACCGGAGGAGGAAGCGAGAUUGGAGGGUAAACUUUUGGAGGCAGCGGAGGAAACUCCUUACCAAAGAACAAUGGAUGAUCAACUACCUCCUUUGUUUUAACAUCACCAUAGCAAAAGGUGGCAGCAAACAGCAAAGAAACAUACAAGCACAGAAGUGCUUCUCUAAAAACGGAGAGAAUCCUCAUUGGAACCAAUCUUGAUGGCUCCCUGAAGAAAAUCAAGAACACCACAAGACUCAAUUUAGAACCUUUGCAAGCUUCAAUAUUGAGGGUUGGGGGAACUGAC